UGGGAUUAAAUUUGUGUGCCACCAUGCCUG
rnacentral:piRNA from 1 species